rnacentral:lncRNA from 1 species
AAAUAAAUAGAUUUUAUAAAAUUGUUUUAAAAAGUGAGACAAUAGUCAUGAGUAGCAAGGGGGUAAGUUUCCUAGAGCCACAAAUUUCAUGGCUUAAAACAAUGUCAAUUUAUUCUCUUACAGUUCUGGAAGCCAGAAAUUUGAAAUGAGUCUUAUGGAGCUGAAAUCAAGCACACACCAGAGCUGGGCUUCAUCUGGAUGCUCUAUGAAAGAUUCCUUUGUUUGCCUCUUCCAAUUCCUGGUGGUUGCUGGCGUUCCUUGCAUUGUAGACUCGUCAUCCCAAUGUCUUCCUCCUUGGCCCCUUUGCCUUCUCCUCUCCUGUGUGGGCAUCAUCAACUCUCCCUUUCCCUCCCUCUUAAAAGGAUAUGAAUGUGACUGCUUUAGGACCUACCUGGAUAAUUCAGAAUAAUCUCCCCAUCUCAAGACCCUUAACAUAAUCACAUAUGCAAAGAACUUCUCUUUUCUUUAAUCAUAUGACUUAACAUGUACAAAUUUCAGAGAUGAGAACAUGGAUAUCUUUAGGGCGCCAUUUUUUCAGUCCAUUGGAAAUGGUAGAUGUGGAAGAAGAGGAGCUAAAAUUCAAUCAGACCGGGGGUCUGCAAUCUGUAGCCUGCAAGUCAGUGCCUGUUUUUGUAAAUAAAGUUUUAUUGGAGCACA